rnacentral:misc_RNA from 1 species
GAAUCAGAUGAAAGGCUAUUAGGGCCUG